AGCAGCCGCGGUAAUUCCAGCUCCAAUAGCGUAUAUUAAAGUUGUUGCAGUUAAAAGCUCGUAGUUGAAUUUCGGGGUUCAUACGUUGGUCGGGCUUUUUGGUCUGUACUGGCGUAAUGGAUUCCUACCUUCUGAAUAACCGGCAUGCCAUUAAUUUGGUGCGCCGGGGAAGCAGGACUGUUACCUUGAAAAAAUUAGAGUGCUUAAAGCAGGCUAUCGCCUGAAUACAUUAGCAUGGAAUAAUGAAAUAGGACGGCAUGGUUCUAUUUUGUUGGUUUCUAGGAUCACCGUAAUGAUUAAUAGGGAUAGUUGGGGGCAUUAGUAUUCAAUUGUCAGAGGUGAAAUUCUUGGAUUUAUUGAAGACUAACUUCUGCGAAAGCAUUUGCCAAGGAUGUUUUCAUUAAUCAAGAACGAAAGUUAGGGGAUCGAAGACGAUCAGAUACCGUCGUAGUCUUAACCAUAAACUAUGCCGACUAGGGAUCGGACGAUGUUAAUUUUUUAAUGACUCGUUCGGCGCCUU
rnacentral:rRNA from 1 species